rnacentral:ncRNA from 12 species
AAUGCCGGAGGUGGGAAAAUUCGUUGCACCCACACACCUUAUGGGUUAAAAGAGAUGCAGUAGAAAGCGACGGCUGCCCGGCAUU